rnacentral:rRNA from 1 species
GACGUAGGGCGCGAGCGUUGUCCGGAUUUAUUGGGCGUAAAGAGCUCGUAGGCGGCUUGUCGCGUCGACUGUGAAAUCCCGCGGCUCAACUGCGGGUCUGCAGUCGAUACGGGGAGGCUAGAGUUCGGUAGGGGAGACUGGAAUUCCUGGUGUAGCGGUGGAAUGCGCAGAUAUCAGGAGGAACACCGAUGGCGAAGGCAGGUCUCUGGGCCGAUACUGACGCUGAGGAGCGAAAGCGUGGGGAGCGAACAGG